UACGUAGGGGGCUAGCGUUGUCCGGAUUUAUUGGGCGUAAAGAGCGUGUAGGCGCCAGGUAGGUCCGGUGUGAAAACUCGAGGCUUAACCUCGAGAUGUCAUCGGAAACCAUCUGGCUAGAGUCCGGAAAGAGGAAAGUGGAAUUCCUGGUGUAGCGGUGAAAUGCGCAGAUAUCAGGAAGAACACCCAAUGGCGAAAGCAGCUUUCUGGGACGGUACUGACGCUGGAGAACGCGAAAGCCGUGGGGAGCGAACAGG
rnacentral:rRNA from 1 species